GAUCUAUAAAGCAAGCCUGAUUGCAGUGUGCUGUAACUCUCUUUAAUCAACCAGAAGAUAUCCCGUGACAACAAGAACUGCUUCAUUUAUUAAAUCUAUUUUAGGCUAAUUACUCCAAUUUAUAAUAUAUACAUAGAAUUGUAAUAUACCUAAGUAAUUUUACUAAUUGUAUGAAUAUGCAUAUAAUUUCAAUGUUUUAUAAAACCGUAACUGUAAGAGAGUAUACUAUUUGCUUAGAUUUGCGUCAGUGUGAUAUUUUCUUGUUUUACGAUGAUGACAUAUCAUUAUAUUUUUCUCAAAAGGCUGCAAAAUGUAUUCAUAAUAUGCUGAGAAGUGCAUUAAAACUACUGAGAUAAUGUGGCUGCUUAAAUAUACUACCUGUUUUCAUGAUUUUAAAAAAAAUUAAAAUUGUUAUUCAGUUUCGUUUGAGCACAAUAAAACAAAUCAUUAAACGUAUUACUUUAGAGCUGAUAUAUUUGUAUUUUUUGUAUUUAUUUUUGCUGAUGUACUUCAGUGGUAGUUAAUUCAUAUACAUAAUAUGUGGAUUUAAAAGCAGGACCUGCUGUGGUCCCACAUGAAGGACUCAUUACCUAGUACACAUUUAAAGAUCAUCAUUGCCAUGGUACUGCCAUUAAUUAUUUAAUUGUUGAUUGAAUCAUGAUUUUAAUGAUGCAGGUGUUUUAAGCAGAAGACUACUGUUUGAAUGAGAAAUUUGGUGUAAAGUACCUGGUGUGCUAUGCAUUGUGGAUGUCCAGGGUGCCGAUCUACAACUAUGGCAUAUUAUUUACCAAAAAUAUUUAACCUACUAGCUUUGGGAAUAACAAUCCAACUCAUAAAUAUCAGUUUUAUAGUUCACAUGUUUAUUGAAUCUUAUUUAUCUAACACUGAGUAAAGAAAACAUAUACUGUUAAACAAUAGAGCCACUGAAACUGUUAUAGCUCUAAUUUCUGCUAUAUUAAGCACAGUAAAAUUAGAGAUUGAAAUGCUGAGCUUAAUGCAAAAAAAUUAAAGAAAUAAAAAAAUCAAAGAAUGCCUUCUUGUUCAACUGAAAUUUCAAGUAAAACUGAAAGACAGGUUUUAAUAGAUUUCAUUUUCAUCAGGGAACGGAAUACAUUUAAUUUAUUCACAGAGACAAUGAAACACUGAAGGCACAAUUAAAACAGGGGCAACAGAAAUGACUCCCAUGUUCAUUAACUAUACAGUUGUCUAUUGAAUGUCAUUAAUAGCAAACUACGGUUUUACUGUAAACAGUUCACACAGUAAGGCACAUUUUCAUUAUCCAGCAUUCUGCACAGCCUGCACAAUAAAUACUUAGCAUAUGCCCUUUGCAGUUUAGAAAAUACACAUUGUUCAGUUUUAUACAGAUUGUCAUGUUUAUUCAAGAAGCAAAACAGGUUAUAUAUGAGUUUUCUAAUAUCAUAUGCUUUACUUGUUUUGAUUGUCCGCUAUGAGAUAGCCAGAAGCAGUCAUUAUAUAUCAGGGACCAGAGUAGGUGAUCUAUAUGAGAAUGGCCAGGGACUUUGGAAUAGGAUAUACUCUCCAUUCGGUUCAAUCUUGUCCUCAACAUAGUCCCUAGAAAAAAAGAAGAAAAAUUAAAUGGCUUACUAUGAACAUUUUCAACUCUGACACAACACACAGUUGGUUCAUCAACAUGAUUACACAAUGUAUACAGACAUUUGAUUAAAACAGUAGAGCUUGUAAUCUACCAAUUUCAUAUAACCUUUAUUACCCCAAAAAAGUCCCAGAGUAUUAACUCUAUGCUUUUGGAAGGGAGAACCAACCCCUUAAUCAGUUCUUUGCCAUUCCAGAUUGACUCAGCAAGAGAGAGAACAUGCCUGCUCUGACAUUGACAGAAUCCCAGGAAGCAUGUUAUGUGUAAUAAAUUCUCUCAAAAUCAAGAGAUGUCUAAAGAUCCAGUAGCAUUAUAAAGUUUGGUCUCUAUGCACAGUAAAUAAGUGGAAAUUGAUAUUCUGAGUGACGCUUUUAUGCCAAGCACUAAAACUAUAUUGUGGUUGUAAUUUAUGCCAUCUGAUAAGUUGGCAAAUAUGAAUUUUUUAAGAAAUGUGCAUGUUUGCUCAAUUUCAUAAAUGUGGUAGCAUGCAUCAAUGAUCAUGUUUUACUGGAACUGUACAAUACGUUUUUAUAUUUUGGAGUGUUCUUACAUAUCAUUUCAACUUGAAAUUUUACUUUAUUUUGUUGUAAUGUUGUUUAAUACUGAUCAAUACAUUUUCAGUCCGUCAAAAUGAUUAAUAAUUCAAGCUCCUCUACAUGAUCAACUGGCAAUGUCAUCCCCCCCCCCCUUUUUUUACUCUUCUUCUGUUUUUCCUGUUCGCCUCACAAAGUCAUAAAAAACACUGCUGUACCUCAUCAUGCCCGAGUACUAUGUAGUGGUGCCAUUACCAAUUUGACCAAAUUAUAUGUAGAGAGGCUUCUGGACAAUUUAAUCCCUCCAGGAAACUUGGUGAGACCUCUUUCUCUGUUAAUUUUCACCCUCUCCCUCAUUCAAGCAAGCUCUCUCUUUCUCUGCCUCCACAAUGUGGGGUUUCUUUCUUUCUUUUUUUAUGUUCCCUUAUAUCGUUUUUCCCUCCCCAGCUUCCACCCCAAGCCCUCAGACAGCAUGCAGCUUAUGCAAAUCAUUGGCCUUUUAUUCUUGAUACUCGUCCUCCGACUUCAAUGAGACCUCAAGAAAACACAGCCUCACAUGCGUGCUCUCUCUCUCUCACACACACACACACACACACACACACACACACACUCUGUUAAGAUUUUCUUUCUCACCAAAAUUCUCCCAAGCUACUGUACACUGUACACACACACACACACUCACACACACACACACACACACACACACACACACACACACGCACAGAGCUCAGCAUUAUUGUGUUACACUACCAAUAAAUGAAAACAUUUACUAUAAUUAUCCAUAAGCCCAAUCACAAUGCUCUGUGGAAAGCAAAAUCACACUGAAGAAAAGUAUUUAAAUAUCCUCACGAUAUAGCCCAUAUUAUUUAACUUUGAACAUUUCCUGGUUUGCUUUUGAAAAGUGCUUCUCUUAUAUUUGAAUGUAAUGCAGUAACUGAUGUCCAGUUCAGUUUCUAUAGCUGUAUCAGUGUAUUAGGAAAGCUUGGCCAGCGUCAUAGACUACCAAACAUUCAUAUAAACAUGUACAGACAACAAUGUGCCCUUGUUAACUAACCCACAAUUUGUAUAAAAGUGGAGUCUAGUCUUUCAGCUGCACUGUCGUUGUUGUUUUUUUUUUUUUUACCAAAAGCUGAUCAGACAUUGGGGAGUGAGACUCAGUAGAUGGAGAUAGACUAGACACUUAAGAUAAGGGGGGGCUGUUUACCAAAGUCACUGUGAGAGGGAGAGGGAGGGCCUGAUGAAUAUAAAGUGCUCAUUGCAAAGCUGACUUUCCCAGGCCCUGGAAAUGCACCCACACUCACACUGUAGUUGUGCCCAGCUGCUAGGGAUGGCGUGUGGAGUGUGUAUGUGGGUGCGGGGGGCAACUAGCCUGACUUCCCUCAGACACUUUGACAGGCCAGCCUUUUCAGCAACAAAUUUCUGGGCCUGUCUGCCCCCUCUCCCUUGGCGACUGCCCUGUGCUGAGAGCCCCCUCCCUUUAGUUGGGGGUGGAUGGGAACACAAAGUUGACAGAACAAGAUGAAGAAGUACCCGGUCUGUCUGGGCUUGGCUAGACAUCCCUCCGAAUGAACUUGAACUUGACUCUGGUGCAGAAGCUCAAAGAGACAGUAUCGAAUUACUUGUGUAAAUUUAUUGUGUUUAUUUAAUUUAAAGAGGUAUCAGGCUUAAUUAUAAGUGUGAUGGGAACCAAUUAUACAACUCGUAGAUUAUUUAACUGUAACCAAUUUGAGUUUACAGAAAAAAACGUGUAUUCUCAUUUGCCAUCUAGAAAAAAUAUUUAGCUUUUCUUAUAUUGUUGGAUCCACUAGCAAAUUCAUGAACAUAUACCCUAGUUUUAAGCAUUCUGUAACUCAUAUUAUCUCAUAAUGCAGCAAUCGGUGCUCAGUGUAUCUCCUUCUUUUAGGAUUUGAGCUGAAGUCAGAGAUUGACUAUAAUUUCUGCAGCUCUAUCAUUGUGUAACACAGCAGAACUCUAAAUCAGUUUCUAGACAAACCGUAUAAAUGUCUAUUAUUAUGGACACGUACAGAAAACAUGUUUAUCGUAAUGGGUGCAAAAAGCUUAGAAAAUACCGGUUAGCAAAGAAAAAGGCAUUUAGGUGAUUUUAUUUCAGUAUAUAUUUUUCUUGCAAAGUAGUACCAUAGGUAUGGUAGUGGCGCCAUUAUAACUCAUUUUAGGUAGGAUUGGAGCCUGGUCAUAGGAGUAACAUCUGUGCAAUUUCUAUAAAUAUUAUAAUAAAUAUAAUAAGCUACAGUGGAAACAUUAUCACAGUUAGCAUCACUGUCAUGGUGAACGCAAAAUCGUUAGCCUCCAAACUAAGUCUGCCAACCCAUGUUCCUGUAUGUUCGAAGACCAGCACAUUUGGUGAGUUCCCUGUUCUAGCAAACUUGGCCAACAAACCCAUCUCAGAAUGCAAUUAAUGAUCUGGGAUCACCAGCAGAAGAACCUUCUUACCUUCAUACAUGGUUAUGCUCACACUACAAAAAAUUACAUUUUAGCAAAGUGAAAAUAUCUUAAAUAUAGUUAAAUUGAUCUAGUAUUUCAUAUUACAUAUGAAAUAAAUACAUAAAUAGGUUUACUAAUUUUGUAUAUUGUCUAUUGUAAUCUUAAAAUAAAAUUAAAUUUGACUAUAUAUUCAAGAUAUUUUCAGUUGCUGUCAUUUUUUUCUUGCAGUGUAGGAAUUCCAUGGCAAAACUUUCACGGCCAGUUGGCCAGUGACGAGGCACAGAAAUGGGAACUGGCCGUUUGAAAGCACCCCUGUAGCCGAUAUAUAGCUGAGAACAAGCAUGACAUCUCAGGAUAAUCACUUUUAUGCUGGGAUUAAAACAGGAUCGGCAGCUGAGGUAGGCACAAUGGAUGAAAAAGGGAUUUCACCAUAAAACAUCCUUACAGAGAAAUCCCAGAGGUGGUUUGGUGAGAUUCUUACUGUGUUGACUGAUCAGUAAGGUGGUUGUAGGUAUCUUUAUAUCUUGUCAAAAUUCUGUGGUCUGCAUCUAGGGCAUGUACUAAACACAUGAUGACAUGUAUCACAAACCUAGAUGAACAUGAACAUAAAUAGGGUAGUUUUGAGACCUUCAGUGAUGCAAUAACAGGUGUGUGUAAGGUAAUGCGUUAUUGCAAUUGUGUCAUUUCCGCCAUGUAACACAUCAUGGAUGUGUCAUCAGUAUCAUAAUACUGAAAACAGAUUUCCCUGUGUUAAAUUAAAAGUGGUUAUGAUAUUAAAAUUGAACAAAAAUCUUUAUAUUACUGGACAUGAAAGAUGACAUAUUAAGUUUGGGGGGCUUGACUGCAGGCAGGAGGGGGGUCUGCUGGAAAUGAUGUUAGUAUGCCAGACAAAUAUUCCCAGAUAGUCGGCUCCCAUAGGCCUUUGCUAUUAGCAUGCCAGCUGCAGCAUCUGCCACAUGGGGCCACAGGCAGAGCCAGAGAGUAAGGCCCUCCUGCCCCUCCCCAUACAGCAGAUAUCACCCUCCACUCCUCACCACAUACACAGUGGACCCAAAGGUUCCCAGCAUACAAACACCAACCCCAUCAUGUUAUUAUCUUAGAUUUGUUCUUAAUAAUGUCCUUAUUUAAUCUGGUCAAAGGGAGACAACCCAAGGGUCCAGAUUGUCUCUCAGGGUUUGGCCGCUAAUUUAGGCAUCUGGCUCCGUCUGGGACUGAGCAUCUUUCCCAGUCUAGUGCCUCCUGUGUCUCUCACUCCCCAUCUAUGCUGACAAUGGUGGGAAAAAGGGGCACCAUAGAAUCACGUCAAGAGCUACACUCACAAUGCUGCUAUUGUAGAGGGCAGACGAGGAUCAGAAUAAUAAUGCAGUAACGUCUAACUGUUUACCAACAUGUACCCUACAGCUGUAGACUUCACCCCACUCCAAGCCAACCAUCUACAGUGAAAUAAACUAGAAUUUAACACCCAGGUAGGUUUUUUUGUGUCAUGAUAUGUAAUUUACGGACUGAUUUUCCAGCACAUCAUUUGUUGGAUAAUGUUUAGAAAGCCAUAAAUGCAUUUUUUUUGUUUUGACACUGAACAAUUUGCUGUUUAUUAUACAGAGUGGAAAGGUCUGGCAUUGCCAGGUCUUCUGAAUACACACAUACACACACACACACACAUUAGCACACACACAUUUGUAUUGCUAUGCUUUUGAGGUCCUUCUACAGAUGCUAAUUAUUAAUGCAGCUAAUUAAUACUAUGCCUACACUAACACCAGAUAUUCUUAUCCUUGUGGCUACAUUUAAUCCCCACCAAGAUAUAAAAUUAUUAAAGACAAAGACAACCAACGUACUGCACUACACAUGAAGAUUAUUAC
ensembl:lncRNA